rnacentral:rRNA from 1 species
CCUACGGGGCGCAGCAGUGGGGGAUAUUGCACAAUGGGGGGAACCCUGAUGCAGCGACGCCGCGUGGGCGAUGGAGUACUUCGGUAUGUAAAGCCCUAUCAGCAGGGAAGAAAAUGACGGUACCUGACUAAGAAGCCCCGGCUAAAUACGUGCCAGCAGCCGCGGUAAUACGUAGGUGGCAAGCGUUAUCCGGAAUGACUGGGCGUAAAGGGUGCGUAGGUGGUUUAGUAAGUUGGCGGUGUAAUUCCGGGGCUCAACCUCGGCGCUACCGCCAAAACUAUUAGACUAGAGUGCAGGAGGGGGAA